rnacentral:misc_RNA from 1 species
GAUGAAGAACGUAGCGAAAUGCGAUACGUAAUGUGAAUUGCAGAAUUCAGUGAAUCAUCGAGUCUUUGAACGCACAUUGCGCCCCCUGGUAUUCCGGGGGGCAUGCCUGUCCGAGCGUCAUUGCUGCCCUCAAGCACGGCUUGUGUGUUGGGCCUCCGUCCUCCUCCCGGGGGACGGGCCCGAAAGGCAGCGGCGGCACCGCGUCCGGUCCUCGAGCGUAUGGGGCUUCGUCACCCGCUCUUGUAGGCCCGGCCGGCGCUUGCCGAUCAACCAAAACUUUUUUCCAGGUUGACCUCGGAUCAGGUAGGGAUACCCGCUGAACUUAAGCAUAUCAAUAAGCGGAGGA